rnacentral:ncRNA from 1 species
ACAAACGCAAUGAACGGGACAGUAACCCCCGAUCUCUUUCAGAGAGCCGCCGGUCGGUGCAAGGCGGCAGAGGGAAGGUGCGCGAACACUCGCCCGCGAGCGGCUCCGGUGAAUCCCAAUUUCGGGUAGUAAUUUGAGACGGCAGGCCACCGUUAACCGGCUCUGUAUACGGCGCACCUUGCCGUAUACAACGAGGGGUCGUCCCACUUUGGACGGCAAGCAGAGUGGUACCGCAGAGAGCCAAGUUUUGGGUCUUUGUCUCUUGC